rnacentral:tRNA from 1 species
GGUUUGUGGCUCAGGGGUAGAGCACUCGCCUAGUACAUGUGAGGCACUGGGUUUGAUCCUCAGCACCA